AGAGAGAGGAAAGAGAGAGAGAGAGAGAGAAGAAGCUUUUUAAAUCGCCCGUUGAGAGACGAUGUGUAGAACGAGUUUGAGACUACAGAAGCUACUACAUGCAUACAAGCUAUACGUUAUAUCCGGUGUGCACGCAUUUCGAAUGCAUGCAUAAUUUAGAGGAUAUUCAACAACGCCGGAUCCACUUGGCUUCGGAAUUGUAGAAGAAGAAGAAGGAGGGAAGCCAGUUUUCAUCGUGAAAGCGAAACAGAGAAAUAGAGAGAGAGAGAGAGAGAGAGAGAGAGAGAGAGAGAGAAGGAGGAAGAGUGAAGGUGGGAAAGGAGGUGGUAACGACAUAGCUGGAGGGAGUAAUUCCCUCUCCUCUCUCUCUCUUUCUCUCGUCUCUUUUUCACUCUCUCUUUCUCUUUCUCUCCCACACUUCUCUCCCGGUCAAACCGAACGUCUGAUAAAUUUAGAAUUCCCAGAACGAAACGACAUAUGUAGUUGUGUCUCUCUCUCUCUCUCUCUCUCUCUCUUUUUUUCUUUUUUUUAAUUUUCUAGACAACUUUUAACACAACGAUUUACUACGUUAAUUCUUAUCGCGAAUGAAACUUUAUUUUGCGAUAAGACAAGAGAUUAAAAAAAAAAGGAUUGGAAGGGUAGAUAAAAAAAAAAAAGAUGUAUAUUAUUCUAACGCAAUCGAUAAAGUUACUUUAGGAAAAAAAAAAAAAAAAGAAAAACAUUUACAAAGCGUUUUAACGCGUCAAUAUCAGGAUACGUAAGAUCUUAUUUGGAUAUUUACAAGAAUAGUAAGUAGGUAGGAGGCUUGUUUUCGUCCUGGCUAUGAGAAGAAACGAGAGAGAAUAAGAUAGAUAAAGAGAGAUAAAUAGAUAGAUAGAGAGAGAGAGAGAGAGAGAGAGAGAGAGAGAGAGAGAGAGAAUAAGAAAGAGAGAAAGAGAGAGAGAGAGAGAGAGAAAGAGAGAGAGAGAAAGAGAGAGAGUGGGCUGACCUAACCUGGUGGGGUAUUACUUGGUUUUCUCCCUCUACUUCGUUCUGUUCGAUCACUCUCUCUCUCUCUCUCUCUCUCUCUCUCUCUCUCUCUCUCUCUCUCUCUCUCUUUUACUCGUUGGUUCGAAGCAACGCCACCACACGACAACGACGACGAGAGGUUCCCUCACCAUUGGACGAAUCGUGUGCGUCAGCCAGGCAACCGAGAGAAGGAAGGAAUUUCAACUCCAGUCGCCAUCGGGGUUUCUGAUAGCGGGAUCGUCGCGACUCCGUUCUUUCUUAUCGCAUUUAUUUUUAUCAAUGGAGAGCACGCUUAAGCGUUUCUCACGUUUACGUACGCACGCCUUGCGAUUACGCUUAACGGCAUACGCGCGAUAUCGCGAGGAAAUAGAAGAACCCCCGAGUCUUAUUCUUCUUCGUCGUCGUCGUAUUCUCUUAUUAUUUGAUUUUCGUCUCGUCGAAAGAUCUUAAAUAAAGGAAGAAAAGGGAGAGAAAAAAGAAUAUCAGAAGAAGAAAAGAGAAAUAAGUGCGACUCCGAGUAUUAUUGGUGAAAAAAAGGUUAUAAAGGAAGAGAAAAGCAAGAAGCAAAGUCUUACGUUGUGCGCGGGAACCAUUU